AGGUAGUUAGUUUUAAGCAAAAUAUUUGAUUUCGGCUCAAAAGCUUAUGGUUCAAGUCCAUAACUGCCCA
rnacentral:tRNA from 1 species